rnacentral:rRNA from 1 species
GACGAACGCUGGCGGCGUGCUUAACACAUGCAAGUCGAACGGAAAGGCCCUGCUUUUGUGGGGUGCUCGAGUGGCGAACGGGUGAGUAACACGUGAGUAACCUGCCCUUGACUUUGGGAUAACUUCAGGAAACUGGGGCUAAUACCGGAUAGGAGCUCCUGCUGCAUGGUGGGGGUUGGAAAGUUUCGGCGGUUGGGGAUGGACUCGCGGCUUAUCAGCUUGUUGGUGGGGUAGUGGCUUACCAAGGCUUUGACGGGUAGCCGGCCUGAGAGGGUGACCGGCCGCAUUGGGACUGAGAUACGGCCCAGACUCCUACGGGAGGCAGCAGUGGGGAAUAUUGCACAAUGGGCGGAAGCCUGAUGCAGCAACGCCGCGUGCGGGAUGACGGCCUUCGGGUUGUAAACCGCUUUCGCCUGUGACGAAGCGUGAGUGACGGUAAUGGGUAAAGAAGCGCCGGCUAACUACGUG